GUGUGGGGACCAUUCCACGGUUUCCGCGCCGCAGCUAACGCAUUAAGUGCCCCCGCCUGGGGAGUACGGCCGCAAAGGCUAAAACUCAAAGGAAUUGACGGGGGCCCGCACAAGCGGCGGAGCAUGCGGAUUAAUUCGAUGCAACGCGAAGAACCUUACCAAGGCUUGACAUGUUCUCGAUCGCCGUAGAGAUACGGUUUCCCCUUUGGGGCGGGUUCACAGGUGGUGCAUGGUUGUCGUCAGCUCGUGUCGUGAGAUGUUGGGUUAAGUCCCGCAACGAGCGCAACCCUCGUUCCAUGUUGCCAGCACGUAGUGGUGGGGACUCAUGGGAGACUGCCGGGGUCAACUCGGAGGAAGGUGAGGACGACGUCAAAUCAUCAUGCCCCUUAUGUCUUGGGCUUCACGCAUGCUACAAUGGCCGGUACAAUGGGUUGCGAUACUGUGAGGUGGAGCUAAUCCCAAAAAGCCGGUCUCAGUUCGGAUUGGGGUCUGCAACUCGACCCCAUGAAGUCGGAGUCGCUAGUAAUCGCAGAUCAGCAACGCUGCGGUGAAUACGUUCCCGGGCCUUGUACACACCGCCCGUCAAGUCACGAAAGUUGGUAACACCUGAAGCGCGGUGGCCUAACCCUU
rnacentral:rRNA from 1 species